ensembl:miRNA predicted gene, 22689
UGUGUAUAGGAUGGUGGAAUUGUUUACUGUGAGUCCAUGAGUAAGAACACUCCCCAUGGGCUGAAGAGAUGGCUCAGUUGUUAAAGCCUAGGCUCACAACCAAAAAUAUA